rnacentral:tRNA from 1 species
AAGUAAUGAAGUAAUAUAUUACAUUUAGUUUCGACCUAAAAUAAGAAUAAUCAAUUCCUUGCUUA